rnacentral:rRNA from 1 species
CCUACGAGAAUUACUGAGUAAUAAUCUUAAUGAUUAUUGAUUUGGAAUGAACGUGAUUUAAGAAAUCCGUUGAGUAACAACUGGAGGGCAAGUCUGGUGCCAGCAGCCGCGGUAAUUCCAGCUCCAGUAGCGUACUUCAAAAUUGCUGCGUUUAAAACGCUCGUAGUUGGAUCACAUGGUUAGAUUCAGUAAGACUGCGCGUUGGUACGCUAAAUCCAUAAGUGUGGAUGUGGUGGUGUGUUAUCGCCAUCACAAUUUACAAGUUGUGGAGUGCUGCGCGUUGAUUGAUAGCUGAGUUUAACUGAUUGCAUAUGGGGAUGGUAGUUGACCUUAAGUGAGUCGAUUACUGUGUCUCAUGGAGUGUGCCUUGAAUAAAUCAGGGUGCUCAAAGCAGGCUUGAUGCCUGAAUGUUAACAGCAUGGAACGAACAAUUGUGGCAAGGUGAUACUGCUCUGACUGGUGAUGUGCUUUUCUGUAUGUCAUUAUGUUGGGGCAGUAUCAUAGCACCAACCACCAAUAUCGGAUGUUGGUUCCGUAUUGGGGUGAUGAUUAAGAGGAGCGGUUGGGGGCAUUGGUAUUUUGCCGCGAGAGGUGAAAUUAA